ensembl:miRNA
UAAGUUACAUAUGUCUGCCUCUACCUGUAUCAUCAUAAUAAAGGUGUCAUGAUGAUACACGUAGAGGUAGACAUAUAAAACUUA